rnacentral:rRNA from 1 species
ACUAAUGUUGAAAAAUUAGCGGAUGACUUGUGGCUGGGGGUGAAAGGCCAAUCAAACCGGGAGAUAGCUGGUUCUCCCCGAAAGCUAUUUAGGUAGCGCCUCGUGAAUUCAUCUCCGGGGGUAGAGCACUGUUUCGGCAAGGGGGUCAUCCCGACUUACCAACCCGAUGCAAACUGCGAAUACCGGAGAAUGUUAUCACGGGAGACACACGGCGGGUGCUAACGUCCGUCGUGAAGAGGGAAACAACCCAGACCGCCAGCUAAGGUCCCAAAGUCAUGGUUAAGUGGGAAACGAUGUGGGAAGGCCCAGACAGCCAGGAUGUUGGCUUAGAAGCAGCCAUCAUUUAAAGAAAGCGUAAUAGCUCACUGGUCGAGUCGGCCUGCGCGGAAGAUGUAACGGGGCUAAACCAUGCACCGAAGCUGCGGCAGCGACGCUUAUGCGUUGUUGGGUAGGGGAGCGUUCUGUAAGCCUGUGAAGGUGUGCUGUGAGGCAUGCUGGAGGUAUCAGAAGUGCGAAUGCUGACAUAAGUAACGAUAAAGCGGGUGAAAAGCCCGCUCGCCGGAAGACCAAGGGUUCCUGUCCAACGUUAAUCGGGGCAGGGUGAGUCGACCCCUAAGGCGAGGCCGAAAGGCGUAGUCGAUGGGAAAC